rnacentral:rRNA from 1 species
GGGGAUAACGUUUGGAAACGAACGCUAAUACCGCAUGAUAUUAUUGAGCUGCAUGGCUUGAUAAUCAAAGGAGCAAUCCGCUGAAAGAUGGGCUCGCGUCCGAUUAGGUAGUUGGCGGGGCAACGGCCCACCAAGCCGACGAUCGGUAGCCGGACUGAGAGGUUGAACGGCCACAUUGGGACUGAGACACGGCCCAGACUCCUACGGGAGGCAGCAGUGAGGGAUAUUGGUCAAUGGGGGAAACCCUGAACCAGCAACGCCGCGUGAGGGAAGACGGUUUUCGGAUUGUAAACCUCUGUCCUCUGUGAAGAUGAUGACGGUAGCAGAGGAGGAAGCUCCGGCUAACUACGUGCCAGCAGCCGCGGUAAUACGUAGGGAGCAAGCGUUGUCCGGAUUUACUGGGUGUAAAGGGUGCGUAGGCGGCUUUGCAAGUCAGAAGUGAAAUCCAUGGGCUUAACCCAUGAACUGCUUUUGAAACUGCAGAGCUUGAGUGGAGUAGAGGUAGGCGGAAUUCCCGGUGUAGCGGUGAAAUGCGUAGAGAUCGGGAGGAACACCAGUGGCGAAGGCGGCCUGCUGGGCUCUAACUGACGCUGAGGCACGAAAGCGUGGGUAGCAAACAGGAUUAGAUACCCUGGUAGUCCACGCUGUAAACGAUGAUUACUGGGUGUGGGUGGACUGACCCCAUCCGUGCCGGAG